rnacentral:rRNA from 1 species
CCUACGGGUGGCAGCAGUGGGGAAUAUUGCACAAUGGGGGAAACCCUGAUGCAGCGACGCCGCGUGAGCGAUGAAGUAUUUCGGUAUGUAAAGCUCUAUCAGCAGGGAAGAAAAUGACGGUACCUGACUAAGAAGCCCCGGCUAACUACGUGCCAGCAGCCGCGGAAAUACGUAGGGGGCAAGCGUUAUCCGGAUUUACUGGGUGUAAAGGGAGCGUAGACGGCGAUGCAAGCCAGAUGUGAAAGCCCCGGGCUCAACCCCGGGACUGCAUUUGGAACUGUAUAGCUGGAGUGUCGGAGAGGCAGGCAGAAUUCCUAGUGUAGCGGUGAAAUGCGUAGAGAUGAGGAGGAACACCAGUGGCGAAGGCGGUCUGCUGGACGAUGACUGACGUUGAGGCUCGAAAGCGUGGGGAGCAAACAGGAUUAGAUACCCUAGUAGUC